AGUGGAUUAAUUCGAUGCAACGGGAAGGAACCUUACCCGGGGUUUGACAUAUACCGGAAAAAGCUGCAGAGAUGUGGCUUCCCCUUGUGGUCGGUAUACAGGUGGGGCAUGGCUGUCGUCAGCUCGUGUCGUGAGAUGUUGGGUUAAGUCCCGCAAACGAGCGCAACCCCUAUCUUAUGUUGCCAGCACGUUAUGGUGGGGACUCGUAAGAGACUGCCGGGGUCAACUCGGAGGAAGGUGGGGACGACGUCAAGUCAUCAUGCCCCUUAUGUCCAGGGCUUCACACAUGCUACAAUGGCCAGUACAGAGGGCUGCGAGACCGUGAGGUGGAGCGAAUCCCUUAAAGCUGGUCUCAGUUCGGAUCGGGGUCUGCAACUCGACCCCGUGAAGUCGGAGUCGCUAGUAAUCGCAGAUCAGCAACGCUGCGGUGAAUACGUUCCCGGGCCUUGUACACACCGCCCGUCACGUCAUGAAAGUCGGUAACACCCGAAGCCGGUGGCUUAACCCCUUGUGGGAGGGAGCCGUCGAAGGUGGGAUCGGCGAUUGGGACGAAGUUC
rnacentral:rRNA from 1 species